rnacentral:rRNA from 1 species
CCUACGGGAGGCAGCAGUAGGGAAUAUUGCUCAAUGGGGGAAACCCUGAAGCAGCCACGCCGCGUGGAGGAUGAAGGUUUUCGGAUUGUAAACUCCUUUUGUUAGAGAAGAUAAUGACGGUAUCUAACGAAUAAGCACCGGCUAACUCCGGGCCAGCCACCGCGGUAAUACGGAGGGUGCCAGCGUUACUCGGAAUCGCUGGGCGUAAAGAGCGCGUAGGCAGGAUAGCAAGUCAGAUGUGAAAACCUAUGGCUUAACCAUAGAACUGCAUUUGACACUGGUAUUCUAGAGUGUGGGAGAGGUAGGUGGAAUUCUUGGUGUAGGGGUGAAAUGCGUAGAGAUCAAGAGGAAUACUCAUUGCGAAGGCGACCUGCUGGAACAUAACUGACGCUGAGGCGCGAAAGCGUGGGGAGCAAACAGGAUUAGAUACCCCUGUAGUC